AUGGCGCAGCCGCGGGGCGGGGCCGCGGCGGUGCGGCUGCCGGCGAUGAACGCGCUGGAGAUCCUGCGGGAGACGGUGCGCGUGCUGCGCGCCGACCCGCACGCCUUCACCUACGUGCUCUUCCUCCUGCUCUGCCCGGCCUCCGGCUUCCUCCUCCUGUCCGCCGCCUCGCUCGAGGGCGCCGUCGUGCUGCCGCUCGCGCGCCGCCUCCUCGUCGCCGCGGCGUCCUCGGGGGUCCCCGUCACGCAUUUCGUCAAGCAGCUCGCGCACCACCUCGCCGCCACGCUCGUCGCCGCCGUCGUCUCCUUCCCGGCGCUCCUCACGCUCCUCCUCGCCGCCCGCGCCGCCGUCGCGUACACCGUGGCGGCCGUGUACGCCGGCAAGCCCCUCCCGGCCGCCGACCUCUUCCUCCUCGCGCGCCGCGCGUGGCCGCGCCUCGCCGCCACCUACGGCCUCUCGUGCGCCGCCGUCGCCGCCUGCCUCGCCACCUUCCUCGGCCUCCUCGUCACCGUCUGCUCCACGCUCAAGUCCAUGCUCUACCCGCCGGACAUUGUCGUCUGCGCCGGCCUCCUCACGGUCCUUGCCUUCUCCAUCGUGUACGCGCACACCAUCAUAGUGUGCAGCCUCGGCGGAGUCAUCGCCGUUCUUGAGGACGUGGCCGGGGUCAAUGCGCUGCGCCGGUCGGUGCAGCUGAUGCGCGGCCAAACCCAUGUCGGCCUGCUCAUCUUUCUUGUAUCCACCAUUGGUCUGGCCUUCGUCGAGGGGCUGUUUGAGCACAGGGUGAAGACCUUGAGUUAUGGGGAUGGCUCAUCUCGGCUCUGGGAGGGGCCAUUGCUGAUCCUCAUGUACUCUUUCGUGAUGCUGAUAGAUUCGAUGAUGAGUGCGGUGUUCUACUUCACUUGCCGGUCAUCGAGCUUGGCAAUUCUGGAUGAGGAGGGCGGCUCAGUCGAGGAGAUUGAGAUGAUGAUGGAUGACAAGUCAGAUGCAGUGAGGUGA
rnacentral:rRNA from 1 species